GGACUGGUUAGCUCAGUCAGUUGAGCAUGGUGCUGAUAACACCAAGGUCGUGGGUUUGAUCCCCAUUCGGUCCC
rfam:Apaloderma vittatum contig50545, whole genome shotgun sequence.